GCCCGGAUAGCUCAGUUGGAAGAGCAUCAGACUUUUAAUCUGAGGGUCAAGGGUUCAAGGGUCGUUCGGGCA
rnacentral:tRNA from 1 species